rnacentral:rRNA from 1 species
UACAGGGGUGCAAACGUUGCUCGGAAUUAUUGGGCGUAAAGCGCGCGUAGGCGGCCACUUAAGUCGGAUGUGAAAGCCCCUGGCUCAACUGGGGAAGUGCACCCGAAACUGAAUGGCUUGAGUGCGAAAGAGGGUCGCGGAAUUCCCGGUGUAGAGGUGAAAUGCGUAGAUAUCUGGAGGAACACCGGUGGCGAAGGCGGCAUCCUGGACCAAUUCUGACGCUGAGGAGCGAAAGCCAGGGGAGCAAACGGG